rnacentral:rRNA from 1 species
GAUGAACGCUAGCGGCAGGCUUAACACAUGCAAGUCGAGGGGUAGAGGUUGCUUGCAACCUUGAGACCGGCGCACGGGUGCGUAACGCGUAUGCAACCUACCUUUUACAGAGGGAUAGCCCAGAGAAAUUUGGAUUAAUACCUCAUAGUAUAUGUUUUUCGCAUGUUAGACAUAUUAAAGUUCCAACGGUAAAAGAUGGGCAUGCGUCCUAUUAGCUAGAUGGUAAGGUAACGGCUUACCAUGGCAACGAUAGGUAGGGGUCCUGAGAGGGAGAUCCCCCACACCGGUACUGAGACACGGACCAGACUCCUACGGGAGGCAGCAGUGAGGAAUAUUGGACAAUGGGCGCAAGCCUGAGCCAGCCAGGCCGCGUGCAGGAAGAAGCAUCUAUGGUGUGUAAACUGCUUUUGUACGGGAAGAAACACUCCUACGUGUAGGAGCUUGACGGUACCGUAAGAAUAAGGAUCGGCUAACUCCGUGCCAGCCGCCGCCGUAACAC